UUGUAAACUCCUGUCGAGGGGUAGGAAGGGGCCGAAAGGCCCUUGACCGAUCCCUGGAGGAAGCACGGGCUAAGUUCGUGCCAGCAGCCGCGGUAAGACGAACCGUGCGAACGUUAUUCGGAAUCACUGGGCUUAAAGCGCGUGUAGGCGGGUCGGUGCGUCGGCCGCUGAAAUCCCCCGGCUCAACCGGGGAAGGGGCGCCGAUACGACCGGCCUGGAGCGACGUAGGGGGAACUGGAACUUCCGGUGGAGCGGUGAAAUGCGUUGAGAUCGGAAGGAACGCCCGUGGCGAAAGCGAGUUCCUGGACGUCGGCUGACGCUGAGACGCGAAAGCCAGGGGAGCGAACGGGAUUAGAUACCCCGGUAGUCCUGGCCGUAAAC
rnacentral:rRNA from 1 species